GACAAGCUACUGAUGUAUGUUUUAAACUGUGGUGAUGCCUAUGGUAAAUUCAUCCAAUGUUUACGAGAACUAGGUUACAGAGAAAUCGUAAAUGUAUUAGAAAACACCACGCAUGGUAAAAAUAAAACCAAUCUGAUGACAGAACAAGACAAGACAAGACAUCAGCUAGAAGACUUACAUAAAGAUCACGAACUUACUAAGCAGGAAUUAGAGAACCUGAAGAAACAGGUGGAAAGCAAAGAUGGAGAUUCUAAACAGAUGUUGAAGAAAAUCGAAAAACUAGAAACAUACAAAAAAAAUACUGAAUAGAAAAAAGCCCUGACAAAGAAGAGAAUUGAUAAGUUGGAGACAUGUAUUAAAACUCUUACCUUAAAUGAGGAAGAUACCAUUCAACCACAAUUAUUACCUGGAACUUUGUCUGGUAAUACAAGUGAUACCUCAGAUGAAGAAGAUACACGUCAACAACAACAACAACAAUUAUUCAAAGCCUGUCUCGAUGGUACUUUGGAUGAUAUAAAAAACAUGGUGAACAUAGAUGUUAACGUCAGAGACAAGUGGGACCAGACACCGUUAUUUAAAUGUUGUGAAUCAAGUGUAAGUCCUGUAGAUAAAAUAAAAUAUCUAGUCAGUCAUCAGGCUGAUAUUAACGCUAGAGACAUUGAUAAUAAUACCAUCUUACACGAGGCAUGUUGGCGUGGUACUUUAUCUACAGUACAAUAUCUUGUUGAUGAUUUACACAUGGAUGUUAAUACAACAGGUUAUGACAAGCGUACACCGUUAUUUUACUGUUGUUCAUCACGUGUAAGUCCUGUAGAUAAAAUACAAUAUCUAGUCAGUCAUCAGGCUGAUAUUAACGCCAGAGACUGUUAUAAUAAUACCAUCUUACACCUGGCAUGUUGGCGUGGUACUUUAUCUACAGUACAAUAUCUUGUUGAUGAUUUUCUCAUGAAUGUUCAUACAACAGGUCGUUACAACAGUACACCGUUAUUUUACUGUUGUAUGUCAAGUGUAAGUCCUGUAGAUAAAAUACAAUAUCUAGUCAGUCAUCAGGCUGAUAUUAACGCUAGAGACAGUUAUAAUGAUACCAUCUUACACUGGACAUGUUGGCGUGGUACUUUAUCUACAGUACAAUA